GUAAUCGCAGAUCAGCAUGCUGCGGUGAAUACGUUCCCGGGUCUUGUACACACCGCCCGUCACACCAUGGGAGUCGGAAAUGCCCGAAGCCAGUGACCCAACUGCAAAGAGGGAGCUGUCGAAGGCAGGUCUGAUAACUGAGGUGAAGUCGUAACAAGGUAGC
rnacentral:rRNA from 1 species